AUUGAACGCUGGCGGCAGGCCUAACACAUGCAAGUCGAGCGCGAAAGGCUUUCGGGCUGAGUAGAGCGGCGGACGGGUGAGUAACGCGUAGGAAUCUACCUGGUAGUGGGGGACAACUUGGGGAAACUCAAGCUAAUACCGCAUACGCCCUAAGGGGGAAAGCGGGGGACCUUCGGGCCUCGCGCUAUCGGAUGAGCCUGCGUAGGAUUAGCUUGUUGGUGAGGUAAAGGCUCGCCAAGGCGACGAUCCUUAGCUGGUCUGAGAGGAUGAUCAGCCACACUGGAACUGAGACACGGUCCAGACUCCUACGGGAGGCAGCAGUGGGGAAUAUUGCGCAAUGGGCGAAAGCCUGACGCAGCCAUGCCGCGUGUGUGAAGAAGGCCUUCGGGUUGUAAAGCACUUUCAAUUGGGAAGAAAAGCUCAUCGUUAAUAGCGGUGAGCCCUGACAUUACCUUUAGAAGAAGCACCGGCUAACUCCGUGCC
rnacentral:rRNA from 1 species